UACGGAGGGUGCAAGCGUUAUCCGGAUUCACUGGGUUUAAAGGGUGCGUAGGUGGGCUAGUAAGUCCGUGGUGAAAUCUCCGAGCUUAACUCGGAAACUGCCGUGGAUACUAUUAGUCUUGAAUACUGUGGAGGUAAGCGGAAUAUGUCAUGUAGCGGUGAAAUGCUUAGAUAUGACAUAGAACACCGAUAGCGAAGGCAGCUUGCUACACAGUCAUUGACACUGAGGCACGAAAGCGUGGGGAGCAAACAGG
rnacentral:rRNA from 1 species